CGAGUACCUACAUAUGUAUAUAUGUAUGUUUGAAUGCACCUCUGCCGCUACCACAAUAUAACCAGUAAACAAGCUUGGGUGAAUUUGUCGACUGCCUUUCUCGGGGAUGAAUAUUUCAGGGAUGAAAAUAUUGGUACACGCGCCGAAGUUUUGCUUUUGAGAAACAAUAUAAUUAGCUCAAAAUAGUUUCAAAAAAUAUAGUGUAAAACGAAAAUUAUUAAAUAAUUCUACAUUAAAUUAUGUGUAUAACUAAAUGACUCACUAUGUAAAC